UCUGUUCACCCUCACUUGCUGCGUGUUUAGGAUUUCCAGUCCUCCUGCAUCUCUGUUUAGAGUUUUGUUUGCUUUUGUGUGCAACAAUAAGCACAACUACUAGAGGAGAAAAUAAAACAUUUAACUGUGAAAAUGGAACAAAGUGGGGGCGUUAUGUAACUGUGUACAAAAACACAUCUGGGUUUUUAAUUCUGUGUGAGGUGACGAUGAAAGGCAGAAAAAAAGAGCCCUUUAAACUGAUUAAAGAGAACAAGACAUGGGCAGACGCCCUGUACCACUGCAGAGAGGAACACAUGGAUCUGGUUUCCAUCCUUGAUAACGAGACCCAGGUCUGGGUUGAGUUGGAGGCUCAGAAGGCUGA